UCAUUUAGCACUUUCUUUGCCUUUUCUUCAAGUUUUUUUUCAGGUGUGACAUGAGAAUUGAGCUGCAUUUGAUUGAAUAGCAGCUAGCUCCUCCUUAGGACGGAUAAGUAUCAAGUAGAAGAAGAAAAUGAGCAAGAAGCUAGUUUCUACAGUGAACAAAAAGCAGCUCUCAUCUUUUGUGUGGUGGUGAAAGUCAAACUUUCAGAAGUUCCAGUCUCUGAAUAUUUCAGUGCGUUCAUCUCAGCAUUCUGAAGAUGAGGAAACCUUAAAUAAUUUAUGAUCCUAUCAGGAAAAAAAAAAAUGACUUAUCACCAUUACCAGUCUAGCUUCUGAUCUCUGAACUGCAGUCAGGACUCAAGUCAGUCUCUCCACAUGGGGAAAAAAGGUACUUAAAAAUGUCAUCUAAACUAUCAACAAGCCUAACUACUCAAUAUAUUCUGCAGACAAAGAACAAGCACAGGAAGUGAUAAAGAAAUCCAAAGAGAAGAUGUGAAAAGCUCAUCUUCAGCGUGACAUCCCUCAGUGACCAGAAUUUUGAGCUGACAAGGACAGAAACUCUUGUGCACGUGUACCUGCCUAACACCGGCCAUAGCUCUUGCAUGCUGGGUGGAGCCCACACAAUAUGACAUGAAAAAGGAGUGAGCCACACAGGGAAGACAUUUUCAUUUACGUCAGAGCCCAUUGCUGAGUGGUGAGGAAUGUACACCGGGGGAUGAGCACCAGCAAGCAUCUAGUGGCUGCCAGGAGGGAAGCAGCACAUAAACUGAAUUUUCUUCAGGAACAGUUCAAACAACAUCCAAAGCUCCUCUGUGUGGCCCUUCAGCUCCUUGUCUUAUAGGAUAUGUCUUCUUUGUCCCUGCUGCUCGGAUCUCACCCAGUGGCCUGUGGCAGACUCCUCCUAAACCUGGAAAAUUCUCACAGGAAGUUCAAGCCUAGAGUUGGAGUACAGCUAUUUUAACUGUGAUGAUGGGAGAGAGCUGAAAAGAUGGGAAAGCUCAAGUGAAUACUCAACCUAUACCUCUAUGAUUCCUGAAAACAAGCAGUUAACAGACAGAGUGAUAUUGUACAAUCACAGUUUACCCCUUGUUUGUUGUAUCCAAGUAACAAUUUGGCAGUAAAUGCUUAGUACAAAAAUUCAGAAGAGAGGCUAAUGAAACAAUAUUAGGCAGCUGCAGCAAUACCAUCGUGUUUUGGAACAGACAGAAAUUUGUCUGAUAAUGUGAUGAUUGUUAACUUCUCUGGCAGGAGAUAUCUUACAUCACAUUCAGGCAGCUCGCAGAUGGUAAAUCACUAUAAGGAAGUGAAAGCUACAUUAAUUCCUUUAGCAACAGUGAUUUUCAUGUAGAUCCUUAAGAUCAGCUUAUUGAAAUAUUAUUUUAGUACUUUAAAAUAUAAAUAUGACAAAAUUAUCCAUUUUAAAAUGAGAAAUCUAAUUGCAUAAGUUAAGUAGGAAUUGUGUUAAAAAUAGGAAGUGGUUAAACUUUCCUCCUUCCACCCCCAAAACCACACAGCUUUUUGCAGGAAAAGACAAACUUUAUUGCUUGGAUAUUAGAUAUCUUUUCCUUCAGAAAUGUGGUUUAUUUCUAUAAGUGACUGACCACACUGAGAGCAGUACCUGAACAUUAAACUUCCAUAAUUGUUCCUGUAACUCUACUUGGAAUUUUAUGCCAAAUAAUUCCAAAUGAAAUCUGUAACAGAACAACAAAAUUACUUGGACUCUACUCUGAUUUCUCAGCCAGCCAGUACUGAAAGAAUCACAGUCCAGGCACGGGACUUCCAUAUUACUGGUGGUUUGCUUCCCCAACAUAAAUAUCUUAUGAUAAAGCCCCAAAUAGGUAAACAUACAUGCCUUCACUAACCAAAUUUGAGGGUCAGGUCUUCCAACUGAUAGCAGUGAAUGCUGAAGGGUUUAUGCUUCAAUUACUGGGACAAAAUAAUUCUGCCCAAAAAGUAGACUACAAAUCAUAUAUGCCAUUUCUUUUAGUAUUCUUUACAGCAAUUGAAGUUUAUAAAGAAAAUAAAACAAAAAGAUUUGAAUUAAAGCAUAUUUUAUCACUUAAAAUCAUGCACCUUAGGAAAAAAAAAAUUGCACAUGUAAUUGUAUUGUGAUUGCAGUCUUAAACUCUAUUAUAAAUUUUUUGACUGAAUAUAGACAUUGUACAAUUGCUUUCUACAUUUGUCAUUAGUGUUUUGAUCUUAAGCAUUAUUCUUUCCAAGAGAAAAAUACAAUCUGUAGGAAAAAUAUAUAUAAUAAAGGAAACAUUUAUG
rnacentral:lncRNA from 7 species